CCUACGGGACGCACCAGUGGGGAAUAUUGCACAAUGGGCGCAAGCCUGAUGCAGCCAUGCCGCGUGUGUGAAGAAGGCCUUCGGGUUGUAAAGCACUUUCAGCGGGGAGAAAGGCGGUGAGGUUAAUAACCUCAUCGAUUGAAGUUACCCGCAGAAGAAGCACCGGCUAACUCCGUGCCAACAGCCGCGGUAAUACGGAGGGUGCAAGCGUUAAUCGGAAUUACUGGGCGUAAAGCGCACGCAGGCGGUCUGUCAAGUCGGAUGUCAAAUCCCCGGGCUCAACCUGGGAACUGCAUCCGACACUGGCAGGCUAGAGUCUUGUAGAGGGGGGUAGAAUUCCAGGUGUAGCGGUGAAAUGCGUAGAGAUAUGGAGGAAUACCGGUGGCGAAGGCGGCCCCCUGGACAGAGACUGACGCUCAGGUGCGGAAGCCUGGGGAGCAAACAGGAUUAGAUACCCCCGUAGUC
rnacentral:rRNA from 1 species